CUGCCUGUUUCUAUUUAGGGAGGGUGGUUGUGAAGUAGCAGCCAUUUUGUUUUUAUGCUCAAAAUGUUGGGCAGGAUACUUUUGUAGCUCACAUAUGUUGUUGCUUCUCUGCUGGCUCAUUUGAUGGCUAUGGGGCAGCAGCUCAGCCUGCCACCACCUCUAGAUGUUUCUUCAGCUUCUCCAACUCCAAGGCUGGGAAGAAUAUGAAGUCAAGGAAGACCAUCCACAGAAAAGAUGCUUGCCAAACUCCCAGGUUCCUGGCAGAAUGAAUAAUGUGAAUAAAAUGCAUGUUUAGUCCAACAGUCCUUCUUAAGUGGUAU
rnacentral:lncRNA from 10 species